GAUGGGAUUUACAUCUGAAAAACCAAGUGAGAAACUGAAGACCAGAGAGGGUGAGUGGUUUACCCAGUUUGGCACAACUGACCCCAACCUAGCCCUCCAUGAGGACUGAGCACAUGAGAGAUCCUGAGCCACAGCCACCCAGCCCUGCUCCUCUCGAAUUUCUGACCUACAGGAAGUGCAAGAAGUAAUGAAAGACUGCUGUUUAAAGCCACUGCAUUUUGGCAUGAUUUGUUAUGCAGUCAUAGAUAACCAGAAAACAUCGGAUUUACAUUUUAAGGUAAACUUUUUUAUUGAAACAUCACAUACACACAGAGACGUCCACAAAUUGGCUCGAUGAGCUUUCUCAAAGGAAACACAUUCUCUGAGCAGUGUGCACAUCCAGACACAUCAACUCCAUCCUCCAGAAGCCCCCUCCUGUUACCGCCACUCACAGGUCACCCGUCUCCUGACUUGCAGCCACAGACAUAGUCCUGCCUAAUUCUGAACGUGGUACAAAUGGAAUCAUACAGAAUGGGCUUGGCUUCUUUCACUCUGGGCUGUGUUUAUGAGCAUCACCCAGAUUGCUGCAUGGAAGCCAUCGUUUGUUCAUUUUCACCACCAUAGAGUAUUCUACUGUUGAUGGGACACAGGCUAUUUACUCCUUCUACUGUUGAGGGACACAUAGUUAUUUCCAGCUGGAGACUGGUAUAUGUCUCUUGGCUACCUUCUGCAUGCAUUUCUGUUGGAGGUUGUUUCAGGUAUCUCUUAACGUAUAACAGACCACCCUCAAAUUGAGUCCUUGAAACAAUUACCAUUUUCUUCUUCCUCAGGAUUUGGUGCAUGGGAUGGGCUCAGUUGGGCAGUUCUUCUGUUCCAUGUGAUGGUACUGGGGCUGCAGUCAUUCAGAGGCUCAACUGGGCUGAACGUGCAAGGUUUCUUGCUCACGUGGCCAUCAGUGGUGCUGGCUGGUGUUGGGAGCUCCACUGGACUUCUGUCCAGAGCUCCUCAGCUCACCUCUUUGUAUCCUUGCCCUGUGGCUCAGGCUUCUAACAAUACAGAGGCUGGAUUCCAAGAGGCGGGAAUUAGAAGUGUUCAGCCUUCUUAAGACCAGGAUUCAGAUGUCCCAGACUGUCACUGUAUUGACCGGAGCAUUUACAGGCCUGCCCAGUAAUUUUUCCAUCUUGGGCAGGAAUGGGUGGCAUAUGCUGGGGGUAGGGGUAGCAUUGUUGGGGAUCAUCUUUGGAGCUGUGUGCCAAGGAGUAAAUUGCUGGGCUGCUUUCUACCUGAGGAAGUCCACUAUGCUUGCUUGUGGAGAGUGGAUUGUGUGCACAGAGUCCACAAGGAUUUAAGAAUCCGAGCCCUGCUGCCCUUGCCUCAGCCUGUGCAUUAGGGCCCGGUGGUGAGAGCACUGAGCCAUUGUGAAUCAAGGCCCCUCCCUCGACCUGCAUUCUAACAGGCCACAAGAGCUUGCUUGAUUUUGGUCCUAGGCUGCUGCCUGUGGGUUGGAUUCCAGGGGCACUCUCUCCUCCACAAACCAGACGGUGGCAGGUACAUCCCCUCAAUGGAAAUUGCCCACACUUCACCCUAAAGACAGAUCCUGCUGUUCAGCAACAAUGUGAGUGGCCCACACAUUUGUCCAGCAUGAAACCGUUUGCAGAUUCCUUUCCAGUACACAGUCCCGUCAGCCGGUCACAUCACGAUGACAGCUCCUCGAAGCACCUUUUGGUUUGCAGUUGUGUAGCUUAGAAGUAGGAGCCUGCACGGCUUCAGGAAUUCACAGAAGGAACACACUUUGCGGUUGGAGAAGUUAAUCAUAGGAAUAUCCUGCAACCUGCUGCUCUGAGCCUGUGCACCUGGGGUGUUUCCCUGGAGGUCCUGUGUAUGAGGAUACUCGUCAGCAUGGGGUUUGGGAAGCCUAGCACUGGAGACAACCUAGGUGGUCCUCUCCAGGGGAGUAGGUAAGAGCCCUACAGCAGUGAAAAGCAUUGAAGGAAAAGUGUGUUCAGCAGCGCUCUUAAUCUGAUCAGAGCAGCCUGAACACAUUCUAAACACAGGGCAUUUAGAACUAGGGUAGAGGCACUAGAGCACCAUAGAUACAAACUCAGAUUCUGAAGGUAAAUGCCCAGGUUCAAAUCCAAGCCCCCUCGCCAAGUGACCACGACUCCCCCGAGUCACCUGACCUCUGUGUUUACAUCCUCAAAGUUAAGUAGUCAGGAAAGGGGGCUUGGGGCUUGCCACAUGGAUGGUUGCCACUCUCCUUUGCAAAGUGUAGUCCCCAAAAACAGGUGGAAGAGGGAAGGGUCCAAUUAGAAGGCCGAGUACCAGCUGCCGUGAAUACGCCAGAGCUGCUGGCUAGUGAUAAAUAACUGAAACCCAGGGGGACAGCAGAGCUAGGGUGACCACACAUUCUAGGAAAGAAAAGAUGCCUGUUGUACUGGCUUUUUAUCCAGCUUAGACAAAGAAGGGCAAAGAAAAUAAUUUAGAAAAUGGUAGAGAUGGGCACAGAGAAAGGGCACUGAGGGAGGCACAAACAGAAGGCCAAGUGAUGGUGGAGGUAGACAUUGGAGAAAUGCCUUUGCAAGCCGGCGAAUGCAAAGGAUGCUGGCAACCCUGGGAGUGGGAAGAACCUGGAACACGCCCUCCCUCAGAGUCUCCAGAAGGAACUGGCCCUUCAUCACCUUUCGGAUUUCUGGCCUCCAGAACUGGGCAAGAAAAUGUUUCUGCUGUUGGAGGCCAUCCAGCUGGUGGUCAUUUGUUAUGGUUGCCACAGAAAACGAAUAUAGAUUUAGACAUCUAAUUUGCAUAUAUAGAUGUGCAUGUGUAUUUGUUAAAUAAAAGAUAAAGCAUGAUAACUCGA
rnacentral:lncRNA from 1 species